UUUUGCUUUGCUAGGGACAGGGCCUCGCUCUGUUGCCCAGGCUGGGUUGUAGUGGACACAAUCAUAGCGCGCGGCAGCCUGGAACUCCAGGGCUCACGUGAUCCUCCUGCCUCAGCCUCUCAAUUACUUGAGACUACAGGUGAGACAGAGUCUCACUGUGUCACCAGCCUGGACUGCAGUGGUGCGAUCUCAGCUCACUGCAGCCUCUGCCUUCUGGGUUCAAGCAAUUCUCCUGCCUCAGCCUCCCAAGUAUCUGGGACUACAGACACUUACCACCACACCAAGCUAAUUUUCGUAUUUUAAAGUAGAGAUGGGGUUUCACCAUGUUGGCUAGGAUGGUCUCGAUCUCCUGACCUUGUGUAAACUUUCUUUUCUUUUACCAGCGUGAAGUUC
rnacentral:lncRNA from 13 species